UAGUAACGGCGAGUGAAGAGGGAAAAGCUCAAAUUUUGAAUCUGGUGUCUUUGACUCCCGAGUUGUAAUCUAGAGAAGUGUUUUCCGUGUCGGACCGUGUACAAGUUCCCUGGAACGGGGCGUCAUAGAGGGUGAGAAUCCCGUAUAUGCCACGGACUACCGAUGCUCUGUGAUACACUCUCAACGAGUCGAGUUGUUUGGGAAUGCAGCUCAAAAUGGGUGGUAAAUUCCAUCUAAAGCUAAAUAUUGGCGAGAGACCGAUAGCGAACAAGUACCGUGAGGGAAAGAUGAAAAGCACUUUGGAAAGAGAGUGAAACAGUACGUGAAAUUGUUGAAAGGGAAGCGUUUGAAGUCAGUCACAUCUGUUGGGGUUCAGCCUGGCUUCUGCCUGGUGUAUUUCCUUUCCGAUGGGUCAGCAUCAGUUUCGACCGAGGGAAAAAGACAUUUGGAAUGUGGCUGUCUCCGGGCAGUGUUAUAGCCUUGUGUUGUAUGUCUCGGUUGGGACUGAGGAUUGCAGCGCGCCAUAAAUGGCCGGGGGUCGCUCCUCUCGACACGCGCUUAGGA
rnacentral:rRNA from 1 species